rnacentral:tRNA from 1 species
UGCCGGGUCGUCUAAUGGUAGGACUACUGCCUCUGGAGCAGUGUAUCUUGGUUCGAGUCCAAGCCCGGCAG